rnacentral:misc_RNA from 1 species
CAACCCUCGAGCACCGCUCGGCGUUGGGGGAGCGGCCGCGCGCCGCCCCCCGAAAUGCAGUGGCGACACCGCCGCGUCCUCCCCUGCGCAGUAGCUCCACAGAGAAACCUCGCACCGGCGGCGCGGCGGCUGUCACGCCGUGAAACGUCCACCUAG